rnacentral:rRNA from 1 species
UUAGAGUUUGAUUCCUGGCUCAGAACGAACGCUGGCGGCGUGCCUAACACAUGCAAGUCGUGCGAGAAAGUCUUCUUCGGGAGGCGAGUAAAGCGGCGCACGGGUGAGUAACACGUGGGUAACCUNUCCUUGAGACUGGGACAACCCAGGGAAACCCGGGCUAAUACCAGAUCCGGCCCUGGGAUCUUCGGAUCCCUCGGAGAAAGGAUGGCCUCUGCUCGCAAGCCAUCGCUCUAGGAUGGGCCCGCGGCCCAUUAGCUAGUUGGUGAGGUAACGGCUCACCAAGGCAAUGAUGGGUAGCUGGUCUGAGAGGAUGAUCAGCCACACUGGGACUGAGACACGGCCCAGACUCCUACGGGAGGCAGCAGUGGGGAAUUUUGGGCAAUGGGCGAAAGCCUGACCCAGCAACGCCGCGUGCAGGAUGAAGGCCCUCGGGUCGUAAACUGCUGUCGGGAGGGAAGAACAGCAGCGGAAGGAACAUGGCCGCUGCCUGACGGACCUCCAAAGAAGCGCCGGCA